rnacentral:rRNA from 1 species
UUGGGCGUAAAGAGUUGCGUAGGUGGUUUAAUAAGCGAAUAGUGAAAUCUGGUGGCUCAACCAUUCAGACUAUUAUUCGAACUGUUAAACUCGAGAGCAGAAGAGGUAGCUGGAAUUUCUAGUGUAGGAGUGAAAUCCGUAGAUAUUAGAAGGAACACCGAUGGCGUAGGCAGGCUACUGGGCUGUUUCUGACACUGAGGCACGAAAGCGUGGGGAGCGAACCGGAUUAGAUACCCGGGUAGUCCACGCCGUAAACGAUGGAUACUAGCUGUUUGGGGUAUCGACCCCCUGAGUAGCGAAGCUAACGCGUUAAGUAUCCCGCCUGUGGAGUACGAUCGCAAGAUUAAAACAUAAAGGAAUUGACGGGGACCCGCACAAGCGGUGGAUCAUGUUCUUUAAUUCGAUGAUAACCGAUAAACCUUACCAGGUCUUGACAUCCUUGGAAUCUUUCAGAAAUGAGAGAGUGCUUUUUAAGAGCCAAGUGACAGGUGAUGCAUGGCCGUCGUCAGCUCGUGUCGUGAGAUGUU